AAAAUGGUCGCCUGCACAGCUGUCAAAACCGGCGUGCCUAUUCUAAGUCAAAAAGGCACCGGCUGUACAAAAUGAAGCGAAAAAAAUCACUGACAAUAUUACAAAAACAGGUUGACCACAGGGGACUUUGGAUCUCAUGGGCAGUUGUGAGGGACGAUACUGUAAUGAAAGUGCCACGUGACAAGAACUACCACCUACACUUUAUUUCGCCUGUCGUCCUGGGGCCCAUCAUCACUAUUAAUGAGGCCGUUUGUAAACAACGUUGAGAGCUCUCGGUAAAAGAACUGAACCGAUCUAUAUGAGAUUGGUUUUCGCAAUUUACUCCGAAUAUUACCUGAUAAAUGUGUGCAUAAAAAAAUCAAAUUUAAUUUCAUAAUUAUACUACUUAAAAUGUGCUAAGGAUCACUUUUUAUUUUCACAUUAUCUUCAAUUUAAUUUAAUUUAAAUUGUUAUUUUGCAGGCUUUGAUAUUAGAAUAAAGUGAUUUUGAUUUAAAUUUUAUGUAUUGAUUUAUCAUUGAUGCGUGACGCUGGUUGAAUCUAGCGAGGGUUGAACUUCAAAUUACACAUACUAUAAAAAGUGAUCCUUAGCAAAUUUUGAGUAGUAUAUGUAAAAGGUUGUGUUUUAAGAUUUUGUUUUUAUGAUUAUUUGUGCUUCUUUCACCCGCUUGGGUAAUUGCUUUAAUGGAUAUUGUUAA